CCUUAUUGAGGGGACGGUAAAGGAAUACUUUCUAGAGAUAUGAAGUGUGAUUGUAAACAAAGAACUUUUGAGAUUCUUAAAUUGAGGCCAAAAGUAAGUAGUUGCGCAGGAGGCUGAGGUAGAUAAUGGCCAACAGCGACCCAGAAUAUGUUAUGAAAUGGUUCAGGUUGUCUUUUUGGCCAUAGUAUUUAGCUGUUGUAGUAAGAAUGAAACACAUGUUGAAGCUUUUCCAACACGUUACUUGGUUUCAGCCAAUACUUGUAUUACUGCACCCAACAUUUCCUUUUGGUUUGCUUUCCCAUUUGCACAAGGGCCAUUAUUAUCCUCUGCAUAUCAUCAUCUGAAUAUCGUUGAACAUUUAGAUUGUCUGAUAAGGAAUCUUUCGAGAUUUUAUCUUCUAGAAUGAAACAGGUCAUGUUAGUGAGUUCUAGCAUUUAGAAUCCAAAAACAUGAUGGGCUUGGUCUCAACUUGAGAAUCAUGGGCAAGCGAUAGAAUAAAGCGUAAGCACAACUACAGUUAAGGAAUCAAACUAUGAAAGCAUCAGCAGGACUAGCUAUUUGGUAAGUUCUGCCAUGUUACCUUUGCAAACAGAAAGCAUAACCUGGAUAGAUUGAAAAACAAGAUUCAUCUGUACACAGCUCCAAUCUUGAUAUAUACUAUUACAAUGCCAAAUGUCAUAAUUUACAGAUGAAUAAUUAACUACAAUGAUACAGAACAAGAAUUUGAUAGCUAUCGCUUGUUGUUUAUUGAAUUUAUUAGCUUGUGAUAAUAUGAUCGAAACACAGCAGAAAUAAGAAUCUGUACAGAAAGCAAUAGAGAAAUGCAUACACAAGUUGAGCAGCUCAUGCGACUGGCAAUAUUGCAGCACCUCCAAAGUUUAAAAGCACUCCUGGUGGUUUAAUUUGAAGGGAAGGGCUAAUAGUCAGCAAAUCAAUGAAGCAGUUUACAGGAACUCUGGUUCCCCAUACAUUGAUUGAUUCGAGUUUUCGGCAUUUAUUUACUAGAUUAAGAAGCCCAAUUUCUGUUACAUGGCGGCAGCUCCAUAGGACAAUGCUCUAGAAAGAAAGAAGAGAUGUAAAGUCAUUUCCAAUAAGAUUACUUUCUGUAGACCAUGAUUAAUAUCAGUUCAGCUAGAUUUCAUUGCCUUAAA